rnacentral:lncRNA from 1 species
CUAUAGUUUAAAUCUGUCCGAUAUCUCUCCAAAAAUUCUAUAAUCUUAAGUAAAAUUGUGCAUGAUUUUAGUUAUUAUUUUAAAAUUCAUGAAUCCACAAACACCACAAUAAUAAUAUCGGGCUACAUUGCUUUUACUAGAAUGUCAAUUUGUAUAAUAAAAGUCAAUUUGUAUAAUAAAUAAUUAUUACACACGACAACGUUUCACUUUUAAAGACCUUUAUCCUUUCAAGGCCUUAGCUCUUUGAGGAAUAUCGUCGAACACUUGGGAUGAAGAAAACAAACGAAUGCCUUUCUUUUGUAUCUGCUGAAACAAAGUAAGUAAGAGAGAUAUCAAACACAAAUUUGAAGCAAUCUCAACCCUUUAAUCCUUAUCAUUGUUCCUUUUGUUUGUCUCAAGAUGUCGUUAUUUAAGAGACUCACCUAAACUCUAAUUUCUUAAGUAGUACAAAAUUGCGAUCUUUCUUCUAACCUAACUAAGACGUUACAAACCAAACAAAGAAAGGAACAGAGA